rnacentral:hammerhead_ribozyme from 1 species
AUCCAGCUGGCGAGUCCCAAUUACGACGAAACGCGCGUCCUGGAU